GAAAUGCGAUAAGUAAUGUGAAUUGCAGAAUUCAGUGAAUCAUCGAAUCUUUGAACGCACCUUGCGCUCCUUGGUAUUCCUUGGAGCAUGCCUGUUUGAGUAUCAUGAAAUCUUCAAAGUAAAUCUUUUGUUAACUCAAUUGGUUUCUACUUUGGUAUUGGAGGUCUUUGCAGCUUCAGACCUGCUCCUCUUUGUUCAUUAGCUGGAUCUCAGUGUUAUGCUUGGUUCCACUCGGCGUGAUAAGUUAUCUAUCGCUGAGGACACUGUAAAAGGUGGCCAAGGUAAAUGCAGAUGAACCGCUUCUAAUAGUCCAUUGACUUGGACAAUACUUUUAUGAUCUGAUCUCAAAUCAGGUAGGACUACCCGCUGAACUUAAGC
rnacentral:misc_RNA from 1 species